AGAAACUUAAGUUAUACCAAACUAGAGACCUUCAAAGUCCCCAAAAAAGACAUACUUUAGUUUCU
rnacentral:tRNA from 1 species